rnacentral:rRNA from 1 species
UACGGAGGAUGCGAGCGUUAUCCGGAUUCAUUGGGUUUAAAGGGUGCGCAGGCGGGCACUUAAGUCAGGGGUGAAAUACUACGGCUCAACCGUGGAACUGCCUUUGAUACUGAUUGUCUUGAAUUUAGUUGAAGUGGGCGGAAUGUAGCAUGUAGCGGUGAAAUGCAUAGAUAUGCUACAGAACACCGAUAGCGAAGGCAGCUCACUAAGUUAAUAUUGACGCUCAUGCACGAAAGCGUGGGGAU